rnacentral:rRNA from 1 species
AUGGCCUCCAUGCUCAUGGUGCAUAUGAAUCCAGGUCAAGGGGAAACAAGUUAUGCUCGCAACUCCUCUCUUCAGAAUGCAGAGCAGAAGAGGCUGAAGCCUCUGAUAGAAGCGGCUAUCGUUGAUUUCUGCACCAGCACCGGCACCUUGUUACUGACAAAGAUGGUGGUUGCCGACCUGGGGUGCUCCUCUGGUCCAAACGCUAUAGCUCUAGUGUCGGUCGCCGUCGAGACAAUCCACAAUCACUGCCUUCGGUUCUUACAGCCACCUCCGGAAGUGUGUGUGCUCCUCAACGACCUGCCUGGCAGCGACUUCAACACGGUGGUGAAGAGCCUGGACACGCUCCGUCAUAGCAACUGCGAGCCUAUUGUAAUCACUGGUGUUUUACCGGGGUCAUUUUACGAGAGGCUCUUCACAAGUGGCUCCUUGCAUUUUGUCUUCUCGUCAAACAGCCUGCAUUGGAUCUCAAAGGCCCCAGAAGAUCUAACAAGGAACCAGAUCACGGCGUAUGACAUUGAUGAGCAUAUCAGGCUUCAAAGGCGCCCUAUGGUCAUUGAAGCUUAUGCACAACAGUUCAGGAAAGAUUUCACACGUUUCCUGGAGCUGAGAGCCAAAGAACUGAUCCCAGGAGGCCGGAUGGUUGUUUCCCUUGCCGGGAGAGAUUCUGAUGUGAUCACCCCCAAAUUCUCUCACCUGUGGGAGUUCAUAGCUCAGAAUCUAAGCAUCAUGGUCUUAGAGGGUGUGAUUGACAAAGCAAAGUUUGACUCUUUCUACCUGCCUGUGUAUGAACCUUCCGAUAAAGAGCUGAGGGAGAUCAUCCAAGAUGAGGGCUCUUUCUCAAUCACGGAGAUGCAGGUGAACGAACCUCCAAGCGGUCCGGACAGCGCACUCGUGGUCCCAAGCAGGUUUGUGAAUGUGAUCAGAGCCGUAUUUGAGCCAAUAAUAGUCCUGCAUUUUGGACAAGUCAUGGAUGAAUUCGUGCGGACUUUGGAGCGACGCUGGAGCUUGGAGGGUAGCUUGCAAGACGAACAUGCCAGAAACCCGCGAACUACGGUAGCCGUAUCCCUCAGGAAAGCAUGA